rnacentral:lncRNA from 1 species
CUUGGACUAGCUGUUCCUAUUUGUAAACUUAGAUCUAUUGGUUGAGAUUCCUGUUUCAAUGUAUACUCAAUCACUGAGUUUACAUAAUUGGAACAUAAUAGUGAAGCAAACUUUCCCGUCUUCCACUUAGCUCCUAUUUCUGCUUGUAUCUUUGUGGCCACAUAAGUUACCCAAUUGAAUACCAUGCCUUCCAGUAUUCCAAUCGUGGAAAACAGUAAUCACU